UUGAGUAGGAAUUUGACUUUUAGAUUUAAUUCCUUAAUGAGUGUUUUUGCCGUUUCAUUUUCAAUGCUAAGUUUUGAAUUUUUAUCCUUUAGGUCAAUAAUGCUAUCAUUUUUAUAGCUCUCCUUUUCAAUCAAUAGGUUUUUAAUAUCAUCCUUUAGUUUUUGAUUGGAGGCCUUUAGUUCUUUAUUUUUUACUCCUAACAUACUACAAUCAUUCAUGAGUUCUUGGAAAAUUCAUAUAAUUCUUCUAAAGUAAAAUCUGUAGUUGAGCUUUGACAUACCUCAUCGUCGUCGAAUGCCAUGAAACACAAGUUGGCGGUCUCUUCCUUCUCUUCCUCGGAGGAGGAUGUGUCACUAUCAUCCCAAGUCGCUUUCAACGCCUUCUUCUUCUUCUUUCCAUAGUGCUUCUUCUGUUGAGGGCAUUCGGAGCGGAUGUGU
rnacentral:lncRNA from 1 species